GUGGGGAAUAUUGGACAAUGGGCGCAAGCCUGAUCCAGCCAUGCCGCGUGAGUGAUGAAGGCCUUAGGGUUGUAAAGCUCUUUCAGUGGGGACGAUAAUGACGGUACCCACAGAAGAAGCCCCGGCUAACUUCGUGCCAGCAGCCGCGGUAAUACGAAGGGGGCUAGCGUUGUUCGGAUUUACUGGGCGUAAAGCGCACGUAGGCGGAUCGUUAAGUCGGGGGUGUAAUCCUGGAGCUCAACUCCAGAACUGCCUUCGAUACUGGCGAUCUUGAGUCCGGAAGAGGUGAGUGGAACUCCUAGUGUAGAGGUGGAAUUCGUAGAUAUUAGGAAGAACACCAGUGGCGAAGGCGGCUCACUGGUCCGGUACUGACGCUGAGGUGCGAAAGCGUGGGGAGCAAACAGGAUUAGAUACCCUUGUAGUCC
rnacentral:rRNA from 1 species